UCUUUCCUACGGGGGGCAGCAGUCGGGAAUAUUGCGCAAUGGAGGAAACUCUGACGCAGUGACGCCGCGUAUAGGAAGAAGGUCUUCGGAUUGUAAACUAUUGUCAUUAGGGAAGAUAAAAGACUGUACCUAAGGAGGAAGCCCCGGCUAACUAUGUGCCAGCAGCCGCGGUAAUACAUAGGGGGCAAGCGUUAUCCGGAAUUAUUGGGUGUAAAGGGUGCGUAGACGGAAGAACAAGUUGGUUGUUAAAUCCCUCGGCUCAACU
rnacentral:rRNA from 1 species